CCACCCCCCCCUUUUUUUGGGGGGGGAAACCCCCCCCUCGAGAGCUUGCACUUGGUGGCGAGUGUUUUAACGGGGGAGGAAAACCCCCGGAAAAAAGAAACUAAAGUGGGGGAUAACGCAUCGAAAGAUGUGCUAAUACCGCAUAAACUCUACGGAGCAAAGUAGGGGAUCGAAAGACCUUGCGCUUUUGGAGCGGACGAUAUCUGAUUAGCUAGUUGGUAAGGUAAAAGCUUACCAAGGCGACGAUCAGUAGCCGGCCUGAGAGGACGACCAAACACACUGGGCCUGUUUUACGGCCCAGACUCCUACGGGAGGCAGCAGUGGGGAAUUUUGGACAAUGGGCGAAAGCCUGACCCAGCAAUGCCGCGUGAGUGAAGAAGGCCUUCCGGGUUGUCAAGCUCUUCUCACUCGAGAAGAAACGAUCAUGACUAAUAAUGAUGAUUAAUGACUGUAUCGAUAGAAGAAGCACCGGCUAUCUACGUGCCAGCAGCCGCGGCAAACCGUAGGCUGCCAGCCGCUAAUCGGAACUACUGGGCCGAAAAGCGAGCGCAGGCGGUUCCGUAAGACAGGCGGGACAUCCCCGGCU
rnacentral:rRNA from 1 species